UGAGUAUAACGAGUUGAACUGAACUCGAAUAUGGAGGAAAAAUCCCCCUCUUCCCAUCCCUUUCUUGGGUGCAGUAUUGGAAAUUGGAAUAAACGGAUGUUUAGUAGGGUUUUGGGGAGUGAAUAUCAUCCACCACUCCCAACCUGAGACAUAUUAGCUCGUCCUGAAAUUCCACUAUUAAGUCAUUCAUGCUUAAAGAAGAACAACAAAGACGUCAAACAAAUAAAAACCAGAUACGGGUAGUAUCUUAAUUCCUAUCCAUUAGUAUUAAGUUGAAUCAUAGCAAAUUGCUAUUUUUAUGGUCAGAAAUGGUGAUUCCCACCUAAUAGUUUAGCAUGAAUUAGCAGAUUUGUGGGCAGGAGAAAAACAGGAAAUGGCAGCUAUGAUGAAGAAAGAGGAAAGGCAAGAACACUGCAUGAAGAAGGAGGCUUUGGUGUGGUUCAUAGGAAGUUUGUAGGAAGCGUUACCAGGAAAUGGUGUCAACUGGGGAAGGAGGGUGAGAAAAGAUGAUGUGGGUAGGCUGCAGAGUGAGUCCCCCUGAACUUUACAAAGUAGCCUCCAACCAGGUCUGUCACUGAGCAACCAAGGGACCAGUGUUUCCAGCCAGAGUGUUGCCACCCUAGAGGAUGAUGUGAGAUACAGUCUGUUUUCAGUGUUUGUUUCUCAAUGUGGGCAACUCAAGGGUGUGGAGACUCCAGGGAGAAUGUCUUCUCUAAUAGAGGCUGUAUCUACAAGUCUGUACUCAGUGCAGGUAAGUGUUGGCUCUAAGUAGAUCUUUUCUACCCACGAAUAUUUGCUUGUCAGCAUCAUAAACCAAAACCAAAAUCAAAUUAACAAAGCCCACACCUAAAUCUUCUAUUUGCAUGUGGGAAUGCCUUAAGCCAUCUUUAAGAGAAAAGAUCUCAGACUCUGCAGGCAAUAUUUAAAAAAUGUAAAGGCUAACCAGAACAACAGAUUCAACUUCCUCAACUGUGUCAAAAACUAAAUGGCAGAGGCUUUAACCUUCUAAUACCAAUGGACAAUAAUGUUAGGGGGCCUUAAUGUAAGCCUUGGUUCGCGUGACUCUUGGAUAUUCAAGAGCAUGUUAUAAUGAGAUCCUGUUGAAAAAAGAGGAGGAGUUAAGCACUUUUGUUGGGUACAACAGAGGGUUCUUUUUGUUGUGUGCCUUCAAAUCAGUUUUCAACUCAUAGCGACCUGAUGAGACAAGAGUAGAACUGCCCUGAAGGGUUUCCUAGGCUGUAAUCUUUAUAGGUGCAGAUUACCGGGUCUUUCUCCCGCAGAGUAGCCAGUGAGUUUGAACCACCAACCUUUUGGUUAGCAGCCAAGCGCUUAACCAUUGUGCUACCAAAUCUUCUUACAACAAAGGGUAGCUCCGUGUAAUGAGGCGGAGUGAGAAAAGGAAGAUCUGGGAAUUACAUAUUUAAAUAGAGUAGAGAAGAGGAGACAAGGCACUUUCUUGUGUUCCAGGAAGGCAUAGCAUCCCAGAAUGGAAUCAGAAAAACCAGGAAUAAUUUGCUGCCUCUGAUAGCUUGUUUUUUCAGAAGGUCAUGAAGUAAUUUGUAUGGACUUGGCUGUUUUCCCUCACACCAACACUGACCAGUGGAAUUCUUCUAUUCCACCGUAACCUAGAAACAGAAUGGUGAUGUAAAAAGGGUCAAUUAGGAGUCCCUGGGUGUGCGAGGGGUUAAGCGUGAUGGUACCCAAAAGGAUGGCAGCUUGAACCCACCCAGAAGUGCUUCAGAAGGAAAGCUUGGUGAUCUGCUUCCAAAAGGUCACAGCCUCGGAAACCCCAAGAAGCCCAGUUCUACGCUGCACACGGGGUCGCCUGGAGUCAGAAUCAACCCAAUGGCAACUGACAAUGACAACAAACAAGAGUCAUUUGAUAAUUCACAUACAGGUGUUACAUUUGAAGGCAUACAUGGGAUAGCAGCAGAAAACCUGGUUUCUAGACUCCGCUCUAACACUAACUAAUGAUGAGAAAUCAGAUAUAUUCCUGAACUCUCAGGGCCUGGAUUUUCUCAUGUUCGAUCCAAUUGUACCAUUUGCAAUUAAGUUGCUGGUUCUAGCCACAGAAUAAUUCUAAUUUAUAGAAAGACAUCAUUGUUGAAUAUAUUAAUUGUCACCAUGUGAAUGAAGAUAAAUAUCUGUAAAGAAAAUACUGACCAAACAAUAACCAAAUAGUGUUUCUUCUUGGCCUCCUGUAUUUAUUUCUUCCCUCCAUUGCUGUCCAAAAGGCAUGGAGGCGAAUCAGCAGGAAUGUAAGAGCCAUCUCAGUUUUUAUCUGAUGAAAAGAAGGAAAGGGAAGAGAAUUGGAAAAUAAAACCAAAGAAAACAACCAAACCCGUUGCUAUGAGUUGAUUCCGACUCAUGGCCACCACAUCUGUUAUAGAGUAGAACUGCUCUGUAAUGUUUUCUUGGCUAUAAUCUUUAUCAAAGCAGAUCACCAGUCCUUUCUUCCACUCCAUCUCUGAGUGUGUUUGAACCAUCAAACUUUUGGUUAGUAGUUGGGCCCAAACCAAAUAGGCGUGGCAUAAAAGAACAACAACAACCAACAGAACUCUUUCCACUGGGGAAAGGAAACCCCAAUUCCCAAAACUGUAAUAAAGACUUUAGGAAGAAAAUCUCCCCCAAGGACCAUUUCCCCCUCUUAGAAUGCCUAGAAUAGUGUUAACUUUUUCUGUCUUUGUAUUCCUUCCCUUACACUUUCAAGGAAUUGAUUCAGGAGAAGGACUGCACCCAGAGUAAGUAAUAAACAUCUCCAGGAGAGGUGGGGGAGGACGGGCAGAAGCAGAAAGGAGAUGAAGGAAAAUCAAUUGCUCGGUGCUGACAACUUCUUCUUGUAGUCACAGUAUUCUGUCACAUUGCAUUAGCAGCACUUUGCAAUUGUAUGUGUUUUUGCUAACAGGCUGUAAAAGUGUAAUCAUAUGAGCACUGAAUCCAUUGUAUCAGGGGGAAUGAUUCAAGGGGAUGUGCACUUUAUUAUACCAGUACGGUGUAUAAUGUGCUGCUUCCUGAAGUGAGACUUAGCAUUCAAGGAAAAGAAUAUGAUUUAUUUGUUUGUUUGUCGUGGCAUUGGUCCCUUUCAGGGAAAGCUGAGUGUUUCUGUCGGGGGGGAUUCCCUCUCUCUCAUCCUUCUCUGCCUUCUCUAUGUAUCCGAGCAGCGGGAUCCUAAAAGUCACUUGGAGUAUCGAGGUCCCAACCGGCUGAAAAAGCAAUGGCUCUGCUUGGGUUUGUUUGCAAACAGCAUUUGUAAAGCUAAUGAGAUUGUUGCUGCGGAGUCUGUUCUGCAAAGGAAGCUGAAGGAACAGGAGGGGAGGAAUUUCACACCUGCCUGGGAAUGGCUCCCUGGUCUGAAAAAACACACCCCAAAGAAGGUGCAGAGAAAUACUCCUCUACAGUUAGAGAUAGCAGGAAAGGAGACACAGGUCCUUGAGGAUGGCUUCUGAGCUUUAAAGAUCUUUGCAGGCAUUGAAUUAUUUCUUCCCAGUGUUAGCAUGUGUUUGUGGCCUUUUCUCGGUUCAGCCUUUCCUAACUACCCAGCUCUGAACUCCUGUAACGUGGACUGUCUGGCCACUCCUUGAGCCUUGAUUAUACACUGAAUUGUCUUCCACAUGUGUGUGCUUCAUUGUACGUAUGUGUGUGCGUGUGUAUCUGCCUGUGUGUGCGUGUGUGUGGUACGUGUGUGUUUGUAUAUGUGUCUGUGCGUUUGCCUCUUUGGUUAGAGUGUCAGUCCUGUAAUGCAGGGACUGUGCCUUGGACAGCUUUUCUCCCCUCAAGACCUGGCACAGAGUCCUGAGAUGUUCGACAAGCAGUUCUUGCUUAACUGACUUCAACCAAAACUGGAAACCCCGGUGGCACAGUGGUUAGGAACUACGGCUGCUAACUAAAAGCUUGGCAAUUCGAAUCCGCCAGGCGCUCCUUGGAAACUAUGGGGGUAGCUCUAUUCUGUCCUAUCGGGCCGCUAUGAGUCGGAAUCGACUCCAGGGCAGCAGGUCAAUGGGGUUUUAAAAUUGACCUCUGGAUCUGCCUUUCAGCUAUGACAUCUCUUUGCAGUGCACAUUUUGAGAUGGGCCAGAAUUUCUUAUCUAAACCUGGCGAUGUCUACCAACCUACGUUGUUGUUGGUAGGUGCCCUCGGGUGGAUUCUGACUCAUAGUGACCCCAUAUGACCAAACAGAACUGCCCCAUGGGCAUUUCCUGGCUAUAGUCUUUACAGAUCGCCAGGUCUUUCUCCCAAGGAGCCACUGGGUGGGUCUGAACUGCCAACUUUUUGGGUAGCAGCCGAGUGCUUAACUGUUGAGCCACUAGGGCUCCUUUCAAUUGACACUAGCCUCUCGCACUCGGGAGUAAUACCCAACACUGACUGAGCUCUUGCUGUGGGGCCAGAAUUGUUCCAGGUGCUUUAAAUGUAAUCAUUUAUUUAAUCCUUGCAAUGUCAUUAUGAGAUGGGCACUAUUAUUAUCCUCAUUUUACAGAUGAGGAAAUUGAGGCUCAGAAGGAUUAAGUAAUUUGUUCCAAAUGACUCACAGAUUCAAACCCAUACAAUUUCUUCAUUAAACCACUAUGUUUUAAGUUUUAUAUAUAAAAAAAAAGUUUUAUAGCCUUUCCUAAUUAGAAAUUGGAUGGUUCUGUGUAUUCUAUACAUAGAUAUUUCCAUUUUUAAAAUAACAUUUAUGUUUAUUUUUUCUGACUAGGGCUUUUUGAUGCAACAAAAUAAUGUUAUAAAGCACUGUUAACUGUUUGGUCCAGUUGCGCAAGUAAGGCAUGUAUUGUCUUUCGCUAGCCUCAGUAUUUCGUUCUGAGCCUCAAUAUGCGCUACCAGUGGGCCGACAGAACCCAGUUUAGACAGUGCAACCCUUUAAAAUGGGCUUCUCACAGACAGAGGUAUAUCAACAGAAAAUAGCACCUAUGGCAAGAGCUGAAAUUGCGCCCCCGCAGGCCCUUAGCGAGGGUAACCAGCUUCUGGGGCAAUUUCUAAGUUGCACCCCCUCUCAAUUUCAAGAUGAAUAGAUGUUGAUAGUGGCAAUCUGGCAGCAGAAACACCUUCCCCCUUCUUUUCCAGCUGCCUCAGUCAGGCAUCUUUCAUAUUUGUGGCACCUUGAAAUGCCAUUCUGCACCUCCUCUGGCACCCCAUUGGACUUGCACCCAGAGGCAAGCCCCUGUCCUUCUGCUCCCCUUGAAGGAUCUGCUCACUGGCACCUCCCCUCAAGUGGCACACAGGGCACAUAUCAUACCUGCUAUAUCUUAGCUGCGUGUCUGUGGCAGGAAACGUAUUCUGGAGCCUUAGCAAUGGCUGGUAGCAGAGGAUGUGAUGAAGACAGGCAGGGGUGGGUAAAGGGUGGCAUUGGCCAGGACUCCAAAUUAUAGUUCCUAAGAAAUACGGUGAUUUUGACCUGCAUCUGGGCUGGCAUCCAACAUUGAAGCAGGUCCAGCCAGGCUUCAGGCAGAGGUGGCAUUUGGCAGCUGAGUAGUAGGAGGAUCUUGGUUCCUGGUGGUUAGUGACUAAGAGCAGUUGCCCAUCUAGUUGUGAAGGCUAUGGGCAUAGAGUAGAGCCCCCAUCAAGAGGGGGCUGGCCCGGGUAGGAGAGAGACAGGGGCUCAUACAUAUUGAGCACCUGUUGGAGCUUCAGAAAAAUACUGUGAGGAUUUAUUAUUAUUUCCAUUUCACAACAGGAGCUGAGAUAUUACCUAACACACUCCUUUACUCACAACUACCAAAGGAUGGGGUUAGGAUUUGAACCCAGCACUGUCUAGCCCGAAUGCUGGGAGUCUUCCACACCACUGCCUUAUCUGUCAGGCUUACACAGCGGAAGUAAGUGGAGCUGAGGCUACAGACUGCAGGUCCUCAGUGCCUACUGAUGACACCACUAAUGUGGAUGGAAUUUCCACAUACUUUGACAAUCAUUAAUAUGGUGACACUUUAGGCGUGUUGGCCAGGUAACUGAGGUGAUGGAUUUAAGUGGGAUCUAAAGUGGGGACCUAACCCACUUUGCCCCAAGGAGUUUACCUUCCUGAAUGGGAGGCUAUUUUAAAAUUCCACAUUGGGCUCUAUUAUUGUUAUUUAAUAGUUUCCUUUCUGGCUAAUAGAAUAAGUCCAUUUUGGAAAUACCAGAGAGAUUCCACAAAAGAGCACCCUGGUUUUCUCCUUAUGUGUUUCUAGCACGUGCAUCCGUGUGUGAGUCCAGACGUGGAGCUGUUAAUGUCUGAGAGGUGAGAAGGUGGGUCAGGCCCAUGGAUGGAUCGUGCGCUCCUAAGAAGGGCAAUGCUGACACAUUCUAGCAAAAGUAUUUCAAAAUACCCACCAAGGAAAUGCUCUAGCUGAUGUUGGCCAUGAACACAUCAUUGGUGCAUCAGUGGGCUUUGCAGUCAUUAAUCCUGAGUCCUUCAGGCCCUGGGGAUAGUAUGAAUUACUUUAGAGAAAUUAAAAAUUGCUUAUAAAAUUCUUCAAUGUAUACUUUUUUGGAUUGCCUCGUUUUCAAUUAUUCUGAGCUCUAUUCGUUUGGCAGCAAUAUUUACUGAACACAUUUUCUCUUGACUUUGAGAUUUCCCAAAACCAUUCUUUUCUCAUCAAGCAACAUUUAUUAUUCACCUACUUAUUUUGUGAUGAGUCUGUGGGUAAACCAGAAGUACAAAAAAAAAAAAAAGGUCCUAACCCCAGUUACAGUGUGCUCUUACACAGGAUAGAAAUCAUCGAUACAUGAAAGUUAAAUAUCAACACAAGAGGUAAGCUACAGUUCAGCAUACUGGUUCUAGAGAGGCCCAUAAAGUAGUAACGAAUUGAAUUGACAGUACAUACUCCAGGAGUUCAGAGGACGGUGUACUAUUGGUGCUAUUGGCUAUUCUGGGGAGACAUCACGCUGCAAAACAGAGCAGGUAGAGACAAGAUCAAAACCUGAUUGUGGAGAAAACUUUAUUCACCACACUCUAGUUAUCCCUGGAGGUUUUUGAACUGGGGAAUGAUCUGACACCAAUAUGGAGAAACACUUUAAGAUGACUACCCUUCCUUCGGCAUUUUAUGGAUUCUCUGUGUAAAGUAAAAUCCUUCAGAGGAUGCAAGAGUGAUUAGUGCUUCUUUCCUUGGGUGAUCUUUGGGCCCAAUGGUGCUUUCCAAAAGAAGAGUCAACAGUAGCUAUGGAAUCUCCGCUCUGGAGUGUUCUACUCCAUCAGCCAGGUGGCCCCUCUUGCCUACGUAGUGAACUGCAGCUCUCAGCAGAGGAAGGUGGAAGAAGAGCUGUGAGAUCAGGCAGGUCCUGGCAAGGUCUCUACUUAAUGACAAAUCAACAGUGUGUGCUAGAAAUAAGCUAAUUCUGUAAUGAGCCUGUCUCGAUGUGAUUAUUUAUGCUUCCCUAUAACGGAAACAAUGGUAUUUUAAUAAUCUACAUAGCAUUUAAUUAUAAUCCAGUUAUCUGAUGUAAAUAAUUUCAGUGCUCUCUAAUACAACAAAUCUCCAGUGUGAAAUAUCUAACUAAUAAGAGAUGACAGGUGGUCGUUACUCUGAAAACCUCACCAUCUUUCACUAGCACUUGCUGUGAUAAGCUAUAUAAACCAUCCUUCAAUCUGGGAAACUCCCCAGGUAGCCCUCAAGGGAAAUCCAGGCAUUGAGUUCCCUAGGACCAGACAAAUGGUAACAUCUUUGGUGUGAAGACAGAGGCUGCCAGAGACAACUGAUUAUUGAGGACUAUUUGAGGCUCUUGAUUGUCAUUACCUAAUUAUCAAGGCCUGUAAACUCAGGUGGUAGUGGUUGUAGUUGUUAGUUGCCAUCAAAUCGAUUCCAAUUCAUGGACACCCCAUGUGUGUGGGGUAGAACUAUUGCAUAGGGUUUUCGAGACUGACCUUCCAAAAGCGGAUCGCCAGGCCUGUCUUUCGAGGCACCUCUGGGUGGGUUCGAAUUGCCAACCUUUCAGCUAGUAGUCAAGUACUUAACUGUUUGGUCCACCCAGGGACUCUAAACUCAGGUUAGUUCAGAGCAAUAAUGAGGUUAUGAUCAUGGAUUCUGUCCCCUGUGAUCUGGUCCUCCUUUAUUUAUUUAUUUAUUUUUGAAUUGUGCUUUAGAUGAAGGAUUACACAGCAAAUUAUUUUCUCAUUAUACAAUUAAUGCAUAUGCUGUUUUGUGACAUUGGUUGCCCACCUCACGACAUGUCAACACUCUUCCCUUCUCAACCUUAGGUUUCCUAUUACCAGCUUUCCUGUCCCCCUCUGCCUUCUUAUCCUUGCCUCUGGCCUGGUGUGCCCGUUUAAUCUCAUUUUGUUUUAUGAAUCUGUCUAAUCUUUGGCUGAAGGAUGAUCCUCAGGAGUGACUUCAUUACUGAGCUAUAAGGGUGUCCAGGGGCCAUACUCUUGGGAUUUCUCCAGUCUUUGUUAGACCAGGAAGUCAGGUCUUUUUUUGUGAGUUAGAAUUUUGUUCUACAAUUUUCUCCAGCUCUGUCCAGGACCCUCUAUUGUGAUCCCUGUCAGAGCAUUCAGUGGUAGUAGUUGGGCACCAACUGCUUGUACUGGACUCACUCUGAUGGAGAAUGUGGUAGUUUUCGUCCAUUAGUCUUUGGACUAAUCUUUCCCUUGUGUCUUUGGUUUUCUUCAUUCUCCCUUGCUUCAGACAGGGUGAAACUAGUGGAGUAUCUUAGAUGGCCACUCACAAGCUUUUAAGAUCCCAGACUCCACUCAUCAAGGUAGGAUAUAGAACAUUUUCUAUGAGUCAGAAUCGACUCAAUGGCAAUAGGUUUGGCUUGGUUUUGGUAUACCAAUCAAGCUAGAUAUCCCCUGAGACCAUGGUCCCCAGCCCUCAGCCCAGUAAUUGGGUCCCUCGGGGAGUUUGGAUGUGUCUAUGAAGCUUCCAUGACCUUCCUUCAUCAAGUUUCUUCUUUAUUCUUGAUAUUGAACAGUUAUUUGUUUUAAGUAAGUAUGAUUAGCCAAGAGGGUAAAGAAGAAUAGAUACAGUAUUUUGACUCCUUAAACACUACUGCAAAACAUAGCUCAAAAGAAGUAGCCACCAACAAUUAAUUUUAAAAAGUCAUCGAUAUUUGUAAAAGAAAGGAUGCCAUUUUAUGGGGGAAUGUCUUUCAAAAAACUCUGGUAUUUCUGGACAAAAGGAUAUAGAACAGCUCUUUAGGCGGCAAGAAUAAUGCUUGCUGCUGAUUUUCUGGGUGAGUAACCAUCAAUCCCACAUUUCCUUGACUCCAUUUAGGCAUAGUCCCAGUGCUGGCUGCACUCAUGUCUUCAUUGGAAGUAUGCAGAAUAGUUUGGUGUUGAUAGCGGAAAUUAGACACAGAGGAAAGUCAGAAAGGCCUCAAAUACUUGUGCCCCAAAUAAAGGCCUGCAGACUUACUUGAUAUUUUGAAACCCUAUAAAUGGAAAUUGUACAUGGUGGAGUAUCUGGAUAACUUAAAACUCAAAGUUAAUUAUAACGCUCAAAGUUUAAAAGAAAAUUGGAGUCAAAACAAGGUGUAAUGAUUAGAAACAUGGAAGCUAGGUGAAUAUUUUUCAUGCCUCUGCCAUGGGAGAAAGACCACUGGAGUCAUAUAUGUCUUCGCCUGCAUGGCUAAGCCAUAGUGAGACAAUGGCGAAAACCAAUGGGGCUGGAGAGUUUGCUUUCUAAGUUUCCAUUCAGCGAUGUGGUUGGAUGAGCCUAUGAUGCAUAAAGUAUAUUAGGAGGGAAACUUUUCAUUUGUCACUAAAUGUUUCACUAAUAUUUUUCCAGUCAUCACUCCAUACUAUUUUAACACUGCUACUGCCCCAGCCCAUGUUUUCUGAAAAUGUUCCUGCCUCUCUCACCACUAUGUCACAUAUCUCACAUGGUUGAUUCCUCUUACAAUGCCAUUCAUCUGUUUCUGAUGCCUGUCCUUGCCCAUCUUUCAGAGUCCAGCACAAAUAAAAUCUUCACUGUUUCCCUAGAUCAUUAGUUUGUACUUGUCUUAAGGAUCCUGAGUUAGGCACAUUCUUUCCUGAUUCAUCUUUGCAACCCACACAGCUUUUUCCCUACUUUCAAUGUUAAAUAAAAAUUUUUGAAUGGAUAAGUGAUUGUGGGGUAAAGACUGUUUUGGCUCUGUGAGAAAUAUGAACUUCAGAAAUUUAUUUCAAAUUAUGGAGACUGGGUGAGUCUUCUUUAAUAAUGGCAUUCACCUGUACCUUUAAAAAUAUUUCUUUUCUGACAUAGGUUACCAAGUUAGUAGAUUGUAAGUUCCAUGAGGGCAGAGAUGGUCUGCUUUGCUCAGCACAAUAUUCCCAGUACCAAGAUAAUGACUAGCCAAAGUUGACCUUAGGGCUUGGAGAAGUCUAGCUACUUGGAGCAGAAAUGGAAGCUGCUGCCAGGUGGAUGAGCUACAGAAAACCUGGGGGAGUUAUGUGGAUGUCGAGCCAUGGUGAAUGCAUGGAGGGGAGAAGUCUUACUUUCAAGAAGGAGAAGGCUUUUCCUCUUCUCUCAUUGACCAGCUGGAUGGGGAGAUUCUAGAAGACUACUUUGGAGAGGCCCUGGGUGGAAGAAGGGCAGUGGAUGGAGCCAGAGGGGAAAGGAAACUGAAUUCUUGAGUUACCCACUGGAGAACUGUCCAAUAUGUUACUAUAAUGUGAGCAAGAAAUAAAUCUUCAUUGUGAUAAACCAUUGAGAUUUUGGGGUUGUUUAUUAACAUCUAAGCCAGAAACCAAACCCGUUGCCAUUGAGUUGACUCCAACUCAUAGAGACCCUAUAGAACAGAGUAGAACUGCCCCAUAGAGUUUCCAAGAAGUGCCUGGUGGGUUCGAACUGCUGCCCUUUUGGUUAGCAGCCACAGCACUUAACCAUUAUGCCGUCAGGGUUUCCUUUGUUACAUCAGCUAUCAUAAAUUUCCCUGACUAAUACAUCCAUCCAGGCUCACACGGCCACACCGAGCUAUAAGAGAGAUGUGGCCAUAUAUGUCUGUUGUAAUCACGUGGAUGAGAAAAACCACCUAAAGGGAUAAGAGAGAACAUGAUAGAAGAGACUUGAAUCCCUGGACUCCAUGGAGCAGACUCUCUUCACACCAUGACAUAACAGAAAAAAACCUUCAAUCUUGUCUGAGUCAAUGUAUUUUGGGGUCUGUUUGUAAUGGCAGCUUAGCCUAUUCUCUAGCCAUGCAAUGAACCAUGCACAGGGGCAGGUAGAUCAAGGAGAUGGUGUUUAUUAAAGGGUCUUGGUAACUGUGGGCUAUGCUGGUGAGUGGACAUGUGCACUGUCCAGCCAUGUGGCUAGAGUGGAGGAUGCUGUCAUUACCAGUAGUUCUCCAGCAUAUCCUCCAGCCAGCCAGAAGCAGAUGUGUGAUCUUUGCAUAUUUCAGAGACUGUCUUCCUUUUUAAGCUGUUCCAUUAAAAAAAAAACAAAAAACUGUUCCUUUUUAAGCUAGUCAGUGAUUUCCUUUGUAGAACAAAGUUGAUUGGCCUCCUCUGAGCCCAAUGAAUGGAUAAGUCUUUCCAUGGAUAAGGCUUUUAAAUCUGGAAAGCCAACUAUACCUGAUAAUAGAGUCUCGUACACAGUGUCUACAAAAAAGCCCUGCUCUGAUGGGAAAUCAGCUUUGGCCUGUGUUAUCUGGAAAAUUAAAGAAAAAACAUUGAUUUGGAACUUCAGUUAUUCAGAUAAUUAUUCCCUAACAUCACUCAAUGUUCUCUAGGCCUGAGCUUCGACUCUUGUGAUUUUUUUUUCAGGUAAAACUUGAACAAAUUCAUCCGUUUGGAUUUUUUUUUUUU